AUUUUACUGAUAUAUUGUCCAGUAAAAU
rnacentral:ncRNA from 1 species